UUCGAAAGCUUCAUUUGGUAAUUAAAGAUUCGUCAGGUGCAGAUGACGUCAGAUAAGAUUAGGUAGUUGGUGAGGUAUCGGCCCACCAAGCAUGCGAUCAUUAUCUGAUAUGAGAGCCAGACCCGUCACGCGUGCGACGCGACACAG
rnacentral:rRNA from 1 species